GACGAACGCUGGCGGCGUGCUUAACACAUGCAAGUCGAACGGUAAGGCCUUUCGGGGUACACGAGUGGCGAACGGGUGAGUAACACGUGGGUGAUCUGUCCUGCACUUCGGGAUAAGCCCGGGAAACUGGGUCUAAUACCGGAUAUGACCGCAUGUCGCAUGGUGUGUGGUGGAAAGAUUUAUCGGUGCAGGGUGGGCCCGCGGCCUAUCAGCUUGUUGGUGGGGUAAUGGCCUACCAAGGCGACGACGGGUAGCCGGCCUGAGAGGGCGACCGGCCACACUGGGACUGAGACACGGCCCAGACUCCUACGGGAGGCAGCAGUGGGGAAUAUUGCACAAUGGGCGCAAGCCUGAUGCAGCGACGCCGCGUGGGGGAUGAAGGCCUUCGGGUUGUAAACUCCUUUCGCCAUUGACGAAGCCCUUUGGGGUGACGGUAGGUGGAGAAGAAGCACCGGCUAACUACGUGCCAGCAGCCGCCGUA
rnacentral:rRNA from 1 species